GGCAGAAGCACUUGCUUACCUAAGAGUAUGCCGAAGCCAAUUUACUGUUAAUGCCGAGUUGCUUUAUUCUAAGUGCAAAGGUGAAAUGAUUUCCACUCCUGACAGCUCUGGAAGAAUAACGGGAGCAUGGAGAAACACUGUCUUUGCCGAUGCCCCAACUCAGUCUUCUCCUCUGUACAGAUCCAUCAAGUUCCAGGCAUGACACGUGAUUGGCCUUAGUCCAUGGUGGAUGAAUGAACGACAUUCCCUGCACUCUCACCACUGAAUGUCAUGUGACCAGCCAUGAACCAUAAACCUGAACUUUGAGCAACUCAGUGGCAUCCUACAAUGAUCUUUGGCCCUUAUAUUUAUGAGUUUGUUUGUUUGGUUCAAAACCAUAAAGACACUAAGAGCUUCUUUGUCUAAGCUUUAUAUAUAACAGAGGAAUCUGCAGGAAAGAUUUCUCUUCUCAUAAACUCCACCCCAUCUGAAGUCCCUUUUCCCUUGUGCCCCGCGAUGCA